rnacentral:rRNA from 1 species
CCAACAGGGAUUCCCCUAGUAACGGCGAGUGAAGCGGGAAGAGCUCAAAUUUGAAAUCUGGCGGUCUACGGCCGUCCGAGUUGUAGUCUGGAGAAGCGUUUUCUACGUCGGACCGUGUACAAGUCCCUUGGAACAGGGCGUCGCAGAGGGUGAGAAUCCCGUCUUUGACACGGACUGCCGACGUUUUGCGAUGCGCUCUCGAAGAGUCGAGUUGUUUGGGAAUGCAGCUCAAAACGGGUGGUAAAUUCCAUCUAAAGCUAAAUAUUGGCGAAAGACCGAUAGCGAACAAGUACCGUGAGGGAAAGAUGAAAAGCACUUUGGAAAGAGAGUUAAACAGUACGUGAAAUUGUUGAAAGGGAAACGCUUGAAGUCAGUCACGUCUUCCGGGACUCAGCCCUUGCUUUUUUUUUUCUGCUUGGCGUAUUUCCCGGGGCGACGGGCCAGCGUCGAUUUCGAUCGUCGGAGAAAGGCUUUGGGAACGUGGCACCUUCGGGUGUGUUAUAGCCCUCGGUCGCAUGCGACGGUCGGGAUCGAGGAUCGCAGCACGCCAUUCUUUUUGGCCGGGGUUCGCCCACGUAACGUGCUUAGGAUGCUGGCGUAAUGGCUUUAAGCGACCCGUCUUG